rnacentral:lncRNA from 1 species
CAAAAAAGGUAGCUGAAAACUCUCCAGGUUUCUUCAGGUCCUCUCCUCUCUCAGGACACAAGCAUAUUAGAAAACUCUUUGAAGUGGCUUUAGAGAUUCUCUCAUAACUGAAAAAUUCUAAUGGGCAUGUACUCACAGCACAUUUGUCUGGCUGCUUACUUGAAACAUUUCAAGGAUCCCACCAUCUGAAUGGAUGCCAAGGCAGCAAAU